rnacentral:lncRNA from 1 species
GGGCCUGUGGGAUUCAGAUGUGAUAAUGGAAAAGUGGAUAAAUGACAGCUCUGGGCAUCAGUUUCAAGGAAGUGCUCAGCUGAAUAUAGAAAUCAAAUGGAAGAAAACAAAUAACACUUUGUGGAUCCUCUCCCCUCGAAACUUGAAUUGUUCCUUGCUCCUCUGUGCUUCCCAAAAGAAGACAAAAGGUCAACUGGUAACCUUUCACGGCUCUUAGAGCUGGGUGACUUUCUUCUCAAUUUAUACAAACAAGGUAUGUACACACAGCUCUAAAUGACUUGGUUAACAGUCCAAAAAUACUUGGUUAUUUCACUGAUGCUGAAUAAUUCCCUGCCACCUUCACCAAUGAACAGUUAAAAAAAAAAAAGCAAGCUUAGUUCUUGUAUUCAUUUGAAAUCAUAGUAACUGAUGAGUUUGGUAACUUACAGUUCUAGAAUUGUUUCCUGUGACACGGUGGAACUAGAAUAUCUCGAAAGUAUUCCUACUGCUCCAUUCUAUAAAGUACAAUAGUUUCACCUUAUCUGCAGUUUGGCUUACCCACCAUCCAAAAAAAUUAAAUGGAAAAUUCUAGAAAUAAACAAUUCAUAAGUUUUUAGUCAUGCACCGUUCUGAGUGGCCUGGGGAAAUCUCCUGCGCUCCUGCUCCACCUCGCCUUGGAUACAAAUCCUUCUUUUGUCCAGCAUAUCCACACUUUCUACCCACCCAUCUGUUAGUAACUUCAUAGCCGGCUCAAUUACCAGGUGGACUGCUGUGGUAUUGCAGUGCUUAUGUUCAAGUAACCCUUCUUUUACUUCAUCAUGGCCUCAAAGCACGAGAGUAGUGAUGCUGACAAUUUGGAUAUACCAAAGAGAAGCUGUAAAAUGCUUCCUUUCAGUGAAAAAGUGAAAGUUCUACAUUUAAUAAGAUGUCUUCUACGAACAUUUGUUUCCCAAACCAGAGAAACCCUUAUUCACUCAUUAACCAUUGGGAUUUUUGUUCAAAGGCCCAUGAAUUAUUGCUACUUUAAAUUUGCAAGCAAAUUUAUAAUUGGAUCCUGAUGUCCCAGCACCCAUAAAUAUUUUAUAAUAAUUGUACAAACAACACUUACAUUAAGGACAUGAACGAUUAAAAUAGGGAGACCCCCAUCUCUACCAAAAAAUAGGAAGAAGAAGAAGAAGAAGAAGAAGAAGAAGAAGAAGAAGAAGAAGAAGAAGAAGAGGAAGAACAAGGAAGAGGAGGAGGAGGAAGGGAGGAAGAAAAGAAAAAAUAUUAGCCCGUGGUGGUGGCACACACCUAUAGUCCCAGCUAUUUGGGACGCUGAGGCCAGAAGACCCCUUGAGGCCAGGAGUUUGAGGCUGCAGUGAGCCAUGAUUAUGCUACUGUGCUCCAGCCUGUGAGACAGAGUGAUAUCUUAUGUCAAAAUAAAUAAAUAAGUAUUGGUGAAAAUAUAAUAGGAUAAAAUUGCAAGCCAUAGGAAAUGGAAGUCUAGCACUUACAGAGAGAUGGUAAUAUUGUGAAGCAACAGUGUAUUGAAAUUAUGAAAUAAGAGUUUUUCAUGCAAAUGUGAGGAAUUUGCUGAGGACAAGUAAGAAGAAGGCCAAUUCCUAUUGUGCAAAUCCUCUGGUCACUGGCUUCAACUAAUAAGGACAAGCAAAAGCAUAGGAAGUCAUUUCCCUCCUACAAAGAUCAUUGCAAUGAAUGGGAACUGGUGCUUUCUGUGGCUCACGCCCAGUGGGUCUGAGGGGAAAUAGAAUCAAUAAAACUUUAAACAUAGUAAGUGCUAAAUGAACACUUCAUGAAUUGAAAGCUGACUAGAAAGCCAGCUAUGAAGACAUAUUCUAGAACCACUGGCUGGGGAGGAAAAAAAGCACACCGAAUAAAGCACAAGCUGCAAUAAUCUCUUUAGUUAAUAUCCGACUUAUUUUUUUUUAAGUAUAAUGCAGUACAUUUCCACAGUGCAGAAUUAGAAAAUGCAGAAACGAAAAAAAAAUGAUUUAAAUGAUAGUAGUCUAUGAUUUAUCACCUGACGCAGCCACAGUCUAGCUUUGUGAUUGCAAGUGACUUAAUUAAGUCUUAUUAAGUCUCACUUCACUCAAAGCAUGCAAUCAUAAUCCCUUCUUAACGUUUUGAUGGGGAUGAAUGAGAUAAUAGGUAGCUUAGCACAAAAUCUGGCACAUAAUAAUUGAGUAGCAAAAUGGGUAGAUUUAAUGUUAAAAUACUAUAUUUUACAAAUGUAUGUCUAGUCUUUGUUUCAUUGUAUGGAUAACAGAUUUCAGAGU